GAUGAACGCUGGCGGCGUGCCUAAUACAUGCAAGUCGAGCGAACAGACGAGGAGCUUGCUCCUCUGACGUUAGCGGCGGACGGGUGAGUAACACGUGGAUAACCUACCUAUAAGACUGGGAUAACUUCGGGAAACCGGAGCUAAUACCGGAUAAUAUAUUGAACCGCAUGGUUCAAUAGUGAAAGACGGUUUUGCUGUCACUUAUAGAUGGAUCCGCGCCGCAUUAGCUAGUUGGUAAGGUAACGGCUUACCAAGGCGACGAUGCGUAGCCGACCUGAGAGGGUGAUCGGCCACACUGGAACUGAGACGCGGUCCAGACUCCUACGGGAGGCAGCAGUAGGGAAUCUUCCGCAAUGGGCGAAAGCCUGACGGAGCAACGCCGCGUGAGUGAUGAAGGUCUUCGGAUCGUAAAACUCUGUUAUUAGGGAAGAACAAAUGUGUAAGUAACUAUGCACGUCGUGACGGUACCUAAUCAGAAAGCCACGGCUAACUACGUG
rnacentral:rRNA from 1 species